AGCUUUGCACAGUGGCAGUAUCAUAGCCAGUGAGGUUUAUCCGAGGCACAAUUAUUGCUAAUUGAAAACUCAUUUACAGGGGCGCCUGGGUGGCUCAGUCAAUUAAGUAUCUGCCUUUAGCUCAGGUCAUGAUCCCAGGAUC